rnacentral:rRNA from 1 species
UGCGUAGGCGGAUUAAUAAGUCAGUGGUGAAAUCUUUCGGCUCAACCGAGAAACUGCCAUUGAUACUGUUAAUCUUGAGUUCGGUUGAGGUAGGCGGAAUGUGUAAUGUAGCGGUGAAAUGCUUAGAUAUUACACAGAACACUAAUUGCGUAGGCAGCUUACUAGACCGACACUGACGCUGAGGCACGAAAGCGUGGGGAGCGAACAGGAUUAGAUACCCUGGUAGUCC